GAACCUGUCAAUCAGUCUGCUGUCAGUCAUAUCCAGUUUGUGAGAAGACAGCAGAAUGAAGAAACCACUGACCUUUAAAAGCUCAUCUCUGGAAAUCUUGCCAUCCUUGUCCUGGUCAUACAACUGAAACGCAACUACAGGAAUGAAGAACCAGGUAAAAUGCAGUUUUACAGUUGUGAAGUUGGCAGCUGAAAAGUUCUCUGUGAACUGAACUUAUUCAUUCCCUGUGGACUUAAUUAUGAAUACAUUCCCAUUGGAAGCCAUCAUUAUCACCAAUGAAUAGAGGCCUUAUAUAAUUCCCUUGUACAAACACUAAAGUAACUGUCACCUGGAACGUUUUGCAAAGGGAAUUUGCAAACUUAGAUUUUAAUUCCAAACAAUGACAUUUCAUGUUGCAUUAUAGUUGCUUGCUUCUAGAACAUAUUACUAAAGUAAAAGUGUUGGGGGAUCUUACGUUAACAAUUCACUUGCUGAAAAAUUU